rnacentral:rRNA from 1 species
UACGUAGGGACCGAGCGUUGUCCGGAAUCAUUGGGCGUAAAGAGCGUGUAGGCGGCUUGUUAAGUCUUGCGUGAAAUCUCGGGGCUCAACCCCGAGCGGUCGUGAGAAACUGGCAGGCUAGAGUGCGGGAGAGGAGAGUGGAAUUCCUGGUGUAGCGGUGAAAUGCGCAGAUAUCAGGAAGAACACCCGUGGCGAAGGCGGCUCUCUGGGCAGAUACUGACGCUGAGACGCGAAAGCAUGGGGAGCAAACAGG